GCUUAUAGCCCUACCAUUCUGAGAACACCCGAUCUCGUUUGGUCUUGGAAGGAUAAGCAGGGUUGGGCCUGGUUAGUACUUGGAUCGUAGACCACCUGGGAAUAACAGGUGCUGUAAGAU
ensembl:rRNA 5S_rRNA 5S ribosomal RNA